AUGGCGAUGCCGGCGCUGCGAGUGCGCCGGCCGAGCGGCGUCUCCGCUGCGGGCUCGGCCUUGACGCCGACCACCGCCGGCGAGCCAGAGGAAUGGGAAGAGGAGCGUGAGGAGGAGUGGGAGGAGGAAGACGAGGAGGAGCCGAACCGCCUGGGCAUCCAUUGCCCGGCGCUCCGGCGGGGGAACGGGCCGGCGGCCGCGGCAGGGUAUGUCAGUGGCGGGUCGUUGCCGCCCUCGAGGUGCUGGAGAACCUCAUGGAGCGUGCGGCCGGGGCGCCCCUCGCUGUUCUUGACGCUCCCACCACCGGCGUCCCGUUAG
rnacentral:rRNA from 1 species